GUUAAUUACCCAAUUACCAAGGUAAUUUGCAGUUCCGACCUUUCUUUCAAAGAGAGUGUCUAGAACAUUCCCAACUUUUGGAACCGCUCUUCCGGGGUAUCCGGAGGGGCAAG
rfam:Caenorhabditis tropicalis strain JT1373 unplaced genomic scaffold Scaffold629, whole genome shotgun sequence.